rnacentral:tRNA from 1 species
GGGCCCUUAGCUCAGCCUGGUUAGAGCAGCGGACUCAUAAUCCUUAGCGCGCUGGUUCAAAUCCAGCAAGGCCCA